rnacentral:rRNA from 1 species
UACGUAGGGGGCUAGCGUUGUCCGGAUUUAUUGGGCGUAAAGAGCGUGUAGGCGGCCAGGUAGGUCUGCUGUGAAAACUCGAGGCUCAACCUCGAGACGUCGGCGGAAACCAUCUGGCUAGAGUCCGGAAGAGGAGAGUGGAAUUCCUGGUGUAGCGGUGAAAUGCGCAGAUAUCAGGAAGAACACCCGUGGCGAAGGCAGGUCUCUGGGCUGACACUGACGCUCAUGCACGAAAGCGUGGGGAGCAAACAGG